rnacentral:pre_miRNA from 1 species
GGGAGGAGGCCGGAUCCUGGGCUGUGUCCCGGCGCCCUGUGCUCCGGAGCCUGCGCUGUUGGAUUUGCGCUCCCGCCCCGCAGCCC